GGGCCCGCACAAGCGGUGGAGUAUGUGGUUUAAUUCGAUGCAACGCGAAGAACCUUACCAGGGUUUGACAUCCUGCGAAUCUCUUGGAAACAGGAGAGUGCCUUCGGGAGCGCAGUGACAGGUGGUGCAUGGCUGUCGUCAGCUCGUGUCGUGAGAUGUUGGGUUAAGUCCCGCAACGAGCGCAACCCACGUCUUUAGUUGGGCACUCUAGAGAGACUGCCGGUGAUAAACCGGAGGAAGGUGUGGAUGACGUCAAGUCAUCAUGCCCCUUACAUCCUGGGCUACACACGUACUACAAUGCUACGGACAAAGGGCAGCAAGUUCGCGAGGACAAGCAAAUCCCAUAAACCGUGGCUCAGUUCAGAUCGUAGGCUGCAACUCGCCUACGUGAAGGCGGAAUCGCUAGUAAUCG
rnacentral:rRNA from 1 species